CCAACACAUACUCCUAUACCACCAAUUCACAAACCACCAACUCAUUCUCCUAAACCACCAAAGUAUACUCCUAAGCCAACACCUUGUCCACCACCAUCAUCAACACCAAAACCACCACAUGUUCCAAAACCACCUCAUUACCCUAAACCACCAAUAGUUCAUCCACCUCAUGUUCCAAAACCACCAGUUGUGAAACCACCAAUAGUUCAUCCACCUUAUGUUCCAAAACCACCGGUGCAUCCACCUUAUGUGCCAAAACCACCAGUGCAUCCACCUUAUGUCCCAAAACCACCAGCUGUGAAGCCACCUUAUGUUCCUAAACCACCAGUUGUCCCAGUAACACCACCAUAUGUUCCUAAACCACCCGUUGUGAAACCACCAAUUGUUUAUCCACCCCAUGUUCCGGUUCCUCUUCCUCCGGUAGUACCAAUAACACCACCUUAUGUACCAACACCACCAAUUGUGAAACCACCAAUUGUUUUUCCACCACAUGUUCCUGUUCCUAUUCCUCCUUUUCCUCCCGUUGUACCAAUAACACCACCAUAUGUUCCAACACCACCGAUUAUCACACCGCCAACACCAACACCACCAGUAGUUACUCCACCAACGGUACCUGUACCAAGCCCAC
rnacentral:lncRNA from 1 species